rnacentral:rRNA from 1 species
AUUGAACGCUGGCGGCAGGCCUAACACAUGCAAGUCGAGCGAGCGGCGGACGGGUGAGUAAUGUCUGGGAAACUGCCUGAUGGAGGGGGAUAACUACUGGAAACGGUAGCUAAUACCGCAUACCAUCAGAUGUGCCAAGAUGGGAUUAGCUAGUAGGUGGGGUAAGGGCUCACCUAGGCGACGAUCCCUAGCUGGUCUGAGAGGAUGACCAGCACAAGUGGAAGUGAGACACGGUCCAGACGCCUACGGGGGGCAGCAGUGGGGAAUAUUGCACAGUGGGAGAAGGCCUGAUGCAGCAAUGCCGGGUGUGUGAAGAAGGCCUUCGGGUUGUAAAGCACUUUCAGCGGGGAGGCGUUACCCGCAGAAGAAGCACCGGCUAACUCCGUGCAAGCAGCCGCGGUAUAC